rnacentral:rRNA from 1 species
CAGCAGCCGCCGCGGUAAUACGAAGGGUGCAAGCGUUAAUCGGAAUUACUGGGCGUAAAGCGUGCGCAGGCGGUUUGUUAAGACAGAUGUGAAAUCCCCGGGCUCAACCUGGGAACUGCAUUUGUGACUGGCAAGCUAGAGUGUGGCAGAGGGGGGUGGAAUUCCGCGUGUAGCAGUGAAAUGCGUAGAUAUGCGGAGGAACACCGAUGGCGAAGGCAGCCCCCUGGGCCAACACUGACGCUCAUGCACGAAAGCGUGGGGAGCAAACAGGAUUAGAUACCCGCGUAGUCCCUGUCUCUUAUAC